GAUCCUGCCAGUAGUCAUAUGCUUGUCUCAAAGAUUAAGCCAUGCAUGUCUCAGUACAAACUAAAUUAAAGUGAAACCGCGAAAGGCUCAUUAAAUCAGUUAUGGUUCCUUAGAUCGUACCCACAUUUACUUGGAUAACUGUGGUAAUUCUAGAGCUAAUACAUGCAAACAGAGCCCCGACCGGAGACGGUAGGGGUGCUUUUAUUAGAUCAAAACCAAUCGGCGGCAGUGGCGUUACGGCGUUGCUGUUCGUCGCACUGUUUGGUGACUCUGAAUAACUUCUAGCUGAUCGCACGGUCUAGCACCGGCGACGCAUCUUUCAAAUGUCUGCCUUAUCAACUGUCGAUGGUAGGUUCUGCGCCUACCAUGGUUGUAACGGGUAACGGGGAAUCAGGGUUCGAUUCCGGAGAGGGAGCCUGAGAAACGGCUACCACAUCCAAGGAAGGCAGCAGGCGCGCAAAUUACCCACUCCCAGCACGGGGAGGUAGUGACGAAAAAUAACGAUACGGGACUCAUCCGAGGCCCCGUAAUCGGAAUGAGUACACUUUAAAUCCUUUAACAAGGACCAAUUAGAGGGCAAGUCUGGUGCCAGCAGCCGCGGUAAUUCCAGCUCUAAUAGCGUAUAU
rnacentral:rRNA from 1 species